CCGCGCGAGUGCCCAUGCCUGCACCCACGCGAGCGAAGAGGGCUAGGGCUUCUCUCCCUGUCGUUCACACCCAUAUCCACGCCGCACUCCUCACCCCUCUCCUCUCUACUGCGAACGGAUCUCGCCGCCCCGUCGCCUCGCGAGCACAUCGCCGGCGCGCAUCCUCUCCGCGCAGAGAUGGAUGACAACGGCAAGACCCGAGAUACGCUGAUAGUGCAAGCUGCUGGUUUGAUUGCUGUUUCGUGUGCCUAUAUGGCCACAGUAACUACGAGGGCUAGAAUUAGAAACUAUCGUGCACCAAUUCUUUAUGUUAUGCUUGAGAGAGACGUAGCUAGGUUGUCCAAUCUACGUUUUAUCUAUGAAACCAAUGAUAUAAAUUGCCAUGACUUACUAAGGAUGAACAGGGCCCCAUUUUAUAACUUGUGUAACUUGUUCCGUGAUCGGAAAUUGUUGGAAGACAGCAUUCAUACCUGCAUUGAGGAGCAGGUUGCCAUGUACCUUAUGUUGCCGUUUUUUACUACCUUAUGUUGCUGUUUAGACUUGAUAUAAAUUUUUGUUCUCUUAUGUAAUCAUUUCUCCUUUCCUUUUGUUUGUUCUAUACAUAUGAGUGAUGGCUGAGAUGGCGGCUGAUGGUGGGCAUGGCGGUGGGAAUCACCCAUUGCGCUGGACAUCUCCAAUGACUGGGUUCAUGUUACGUCGCUUUGUAGAGCUCAUGGCUAGUGGAGUGAAGACGGAAAAGGGCUUUAAAGGAUGGAGUGCCCAUGCCCAAGGAUGGACUGCCAAAGAAUGGAGUGCCCGUGACCAGCGAUGAAGUGCCCAAGGGUGGAGUGUGAGCAAAUAUGUGCUAAUUCAACGAAGCUGACCAUAUUUUAUUGUAUUUGGUCAGAAAAACCAUGCCCCUAUAUAUGUGAAGGAAUGUAACAUGGACCUUAUGUUAUGUUCCUUUGUUGGACUGUAAUGCGCCCAAUAUGAAUUUAUGGCUAUCUAAUAUGUGAACUCUAGGAUGUGCUGAACUGUAAUAUGGAUCAUACGAAUUUGUGGCUCUAUAAUAUGUGGACUCUUAAGAUGUACUUGCACUGGAUACCCGAUUUAUGUGCACUCUCUA